AAGAGAUUUCAACGUGUUAUCAAAUCGAAGCGUUCUUCGCAGUAUUCUUCGCAGUGUUCUCUCUUCGCAGAGUUCUUCGCAGUAUUCUUCGCAGUGUUCUCUCUUCGCAGAAUUCUUCGCAGGAUUCUUCGCAUGUUCUAUACAGUGUUCUUCGCAGAGUUCUUCGCAGAGUUCUUCGCAGAGUUCUUCGUAGGGUUCUUUGCAAGGUUCUUCACAGAAUUCAUGUUUAAAUUUAUUGAGACAAAUAGUCUCAAACAAAGUUGCUGUAUUAUAUAGUUGGCAUGGUGCCAAAAAAAAAAAGAAUUUUUCCCAGCUGAACUUGUGUCAAGUAAUAUUAACUAUUGUAAGAAACGCGCAUGAAGCAGCAAAGGAUGAGCACAUAUCUAAUACAAUAAAAGUAUGGUUAGCUCACGCUAAAGAGCGUAUUGAUAGAGAGAAAGAAAAAAAAAGAAAAAUUCAGAGGGAUCGA